rnacentral:rRNA from 1 species
GAUGGGCCCGCGGCCUAUCAGCUUGUUGGUGAGGUUAUGGCUUACCAAGGCGACGACGGGUAGCCGGCCUGAGAGGGUGUCCGGCCACACUGGGACUGAGAUACGGCCCAGACUCCUACGGGAGGCAGCAGUGGGGAAUAUUGGACAAUGGGCGCAAGCCUGAUCCAGCCAUGCCGCGUGAGUGAUGAAGGCCCUAGGGUUGUAAAGCUCUUUCGGCGGGGACGAUAAUGACGGUACCCGCAGAAGAAGCCCCGGCUAACUUCGUGCCAGCAGCCGCGGUAAUACGAAGGGGGCUAGCGUUGCUCGGAAUCACUGGGCGUAAAGGGCGCGUAGGCGGAUCUUUAAGUCGGGGGUGAAAGCCCAGGGCUCAACCCUGGAAUUGCCUUCGAUACUGGAGAUCUUGAGACCGGAAGAGGUAAGUGGAACUGCGAGUGUAGAGGUGAAAUUCGUAGAUAUUCGCAAGAACACCAGUGGCGAAGGCGGCUUACUGGUCCGGUUCUGACGCUGAGGCGCGAAAGCGUGGGGAGCAAACAGGAUUAGAUACCCUGGUAGUCCACGCCGUAAACGAUGGAUGCUAGCUGUUGGCCGGCUUGCCCGGUCAGUAGCGCAGCUAACGCUUUAAGCAUCCCGCCUG